CACCCAGGACGGUGGAUCACUCGGCCCGUGGGUCGAUGAAGAACGCAGCAAAUUGCGCGUCGACAUGUGAACUGCAGGACACAUGAACAUCGACGUUUCGAACGCACAUUGCGGUCCAUGGAUUCCGUUCCCGGGCCACGUCUGGCUGAGGGUCGGCU
rnacentral:rRNA from 1 species